rnacentral:misc_RNA from 1 species
AGAUAAUCUGUGAAUAACUUGAUUCACAUACAAUGUUAAGAAGCACUUAAGAACCAAUACUACUGAGAAGUACCAUAGCCUAUGGCUAUGUCCCAGUAAAAUACAUACAGUAGGAAAACUCCACUACAACUUACAGUAAUAACUAACAAGGCCGUUUACAUUGUAGUUGAUCUAAAAAGUGACAAAAGAACAAUUAAAAAAUAAAAUAAAAUAAUUUCCUACUAUGUACUACAUGCUGCAAUACAAGAA